UCCAACCUAAACACAACUCAAUUAACUAAGUUGGUUAUUCAAUAAUGUAAAAGAUUAAAGUUAAAUUUGUAUAUAUACAAUGAUGUAAUUAACAAUAAUCAUUCAAUACAAAGUGAAAAAGCUAAUUUUCUCAGAUUAACGAAAAUCCCUCUUUCUCCUAAACUUCCCCUUCUUUCUCACGUUAACGACGGUUAAUUUGGUUAACGCCUCUCAAGCUUUAGAAGAAAAACCCUAGACGUCGAUUCCAGACAACCACGCGCCGGAUUCCUUCCUGGACAUAGGCGUUCUCUUCCUCUCGCUCCGACGGACUCAAUGCAACCAGAAAUUAAUACAUGGGAGGUAGGGCACGCUGAUAUUAUUAGCUCUGAUUCCACUUAUUGGGAGAUCCACUAAACUGUUAUCACCAUAUCUGAAGAUCUGAUUGAUCACUCUUUUUGAUCUAGGGUUAGGGUUAGGUUAGGAUUAGUAAUUAAACCAGAUCUAGAUCAAUACUCACAAGAUAGAUUGUAAUUUUUGGAGAGAGAAAAAAGAACACAAGAUUUGUAUAGUGGUUCCACCCAACAUCUUGAAUCCUUCUUCUUCCGACUGACAAGAUUCAGGAUGUGAAAACGGCGGUGGUAUCGGAAGCUGAAAGAGGGUUUCUUGAGGUUAGUGAUAAGAUGUAUUUAUAGUCCGACCGCCAUAACUUAAGCACAAGCUCUUGUUUUUUUUCAAUGUUUUUUAUUUCCAUAUAGAUUUGAAAUAAUUUUCAUUGAUGAUUGAAAUAAGUUGUUUUGUUAGUCAUUAAUACUAAAUUAAGCUAAUUUUUAAGGACAUGUUUGUAAUUAAAAAAAA
rnacentral:lncRNA from 1 species